rnacentral:lncRNA from 1 species
GAAGAAAAAUAAGUAUUUUAUAGCUGGAUGCCUUUAGACUUCAAAGAGUUUUUAAACAGUUAUGGAGAUGAGUGUUCUCUUCUUUAAGCAGUUGUUCACUGACAACCAGUGGUAAGAAUGUGACAACUACAGGAAGGACACGCAGUCUUAUCUUCCCUUUAAAAUGAAAAAGAACUUGGCAAGGCUGGGCAAACUUGGACUAUAUGCUGUAUUGGUGACAUGUACAACUGAACAAGUAAGUCACACUUUGGUAAAUAGAGGAUGCUGUAUCAUCAUGAUCUGAUAUGUCAGUCUGGGUUGGCCAGGGGUAGAUUUAUCCAGGAAUGGAGUGGACAAUCUCACAGUCAACUAUCCUGGGAAGAAAGAGGUCUCAGAUGGCCAUGGACAAGGGAAGGGGUGCAAACC